ACAGCGUAAGCCGAAAAGCUGAACAAAGAGUAGGCA
ncrna:unclassified sequences DTF805b RNA